GGCCGCGGGAAUUCGAUUAGAGUUUGAUCCUGGCUCAGGACGAACGCUGGCGGCGUGCCUAAUACAUGCAAGUCGAGCGGACAGAUGGGAGCUUGCUCCCUGAUGUUAGCGGCGGACGGGUGAGUAACACGUGGGUAACCUGCCUGUAAGACUGGGAUAACUCCGGGAAACCGGGGCUAAUACCGGAUGGUUGUUUGAACCGCAUGGUUCAAACAUAAAAGGUGGCUUCGGCUACCACUUACAGAUGGACCCGCGGCGCAUUAGCUAGUUGGUGAGGUAACGGCUCACCAAGGCAACGAUGCGUAGCCGACCUGAGAGGGUGAUCGGCCACACUGGGACUGAGACACGGCCCAGACUCCUACGGGAGGCAGCAGUAGGGAAUCUUCCGCAAUGGACGAAAGUCUGACGGAGCAACGCCGCGUGAGUGAUGAAGGUUUUCGGAUCGUAAAGCUCUGUUGUUAGGGAAGAACAAGUACCGUUCGAAUAGGGCGGUACCUUGACGGUACCUAACCAGAAAGCCACGGCUAACUACGUGCCAGCAGCCGCGGUAAUACGUAGGUGGCAAGCGUUGUCCGGAAUUAUUGGGCGUAAAGGCUCGCAGGCGGUUUCUUAAGUCUGAUGUGAAAGCCCCCGGCUCAACCGGGGAGGGUCAUUGGAAACUGGGGAACUUGAGUGCAGAAGAGGAGAGUGGAAUUCCACGUGUAGCGGUGAAAUGCGUAGAGAUGUGGAGGAACACCAGUGGCGAAGGCGACUCUCUGGUCUGUAACUGACGCUGAGGAGCGAAAGCGUGGGGGAGCGAACAGGAUUAGAUACCCUGGUAGUCCACGCCGUAAACGAUGAG
rnacentral:rRNA from 1 species